AGUUGGGGGUCAGUGGAGUACUCGUCCUAGAUGCACCAGCAAAUGGUCCAGCUGGAAAAGCGGAACUGCUACCAACAAAGUGUGAUUCUUAUGGCAGACACAUAUUGGGUGACAUUAUAACUUCUAUGAAUGGAAAAAAAGUCACUAAUGGCAGCGACCUGUAUAGAAUUCUUGACCAAUGUCACGUGGAUGAUAAGGUGAUUGUCGAGGUGAUCAAAAAGAGAAAAUCCCUAUUGUAUUUGAACCGAAGGCUGACGAGUCGUGACUUACUAAAUGGUUGAGCUUGUGUAUCUAAAAUGCUAUAUAUAUCUGUAACGUCCCGAUUCACACCUCACCAAAUCAAUCAUGUUACAGUGCCGCGGACCUUAGGAUCACAAGCUAGGUGUGAUCCUAGAGAUACGCAAGGCAUUGAAAAUAAAGAGUUAGAAUAAGCAA